UGCAAGUCGAACGAUGAAGCCCAGCUUGCUGGGUGGAUUAGUGGCGAACGGGUGAGUAACACGUGAGUAACCUGCCCUUAACUCUGGGAUAAGCCUGGGAAACUGGGUCUAAUACCGGAUAGGAGCGUCCACCGCAUGGUGGGUGUUGGAAAGAUUUAUCGGUUUUGGAUGGACUCGCGGCCUAUCAGCUUGUUGGUGAGGUAAUGGCUCACCAAGGCGACGACGGGUAGCCGGCCUGAGAGGGUGACCGGCCACACUGGGACUGAGACACGGCCCAGACUCCUACGGGAGGCAGCAGUGGGGAAUAUUGCACAAUGGGCGCAAGCCUGAUGCAGCGACGCCGCGUGAGGGAUGACGGCCUUCGGGUUGUAAACCUCUUUCAGUAGGGAAGAAGCGAAAGUGACGGUACCUGCAGAAGAAGCACCGGCUAACUACGUGCCAGCAGCCGCGGUAAUACGUAGGGUGCGAGCGUUAUCCGGAAUUAUUGGGCGUAAAGAGCUCGUAGGCGGUUUGUCGCGUCUGUCGUGAAAGUCCGGGGCUUAACCCCGGAUCUGCGGUGGGUACGGGCAGACUAGAGUGCAGUAGGGGAGACUGGAAUUCCUGGUGUAGCGGUGGAAUGCGCAGAUAUCAGGAGGAACACCGAUGGCGAAGGCAGGUCUCUGGGCUGUAACUGACGCUGAGGAGCGAAAGCAUGGGGAGCGAACAGGAUUAGAUACCCUGGUAGUCCAUGCCGUAAACGUUGGGCACUAGGUGUGGGGACCAUUCCACGGUUUCCGCGCCGCAGCUAACGCAUUAAGUGCCCCGCCUGGGGAGUACGGCCGCAAGGCUAAAACUCAAAGGAAUUGACGGGGGCCCGCACAAGCGGCGGAGCAUGCGGAUUAAUUCGAUGCAACGCGAAGAACCUUACCAAGGCUUGACAUGUUCUCGAUCGCCGUAGAGAUACGGUUUCCCCUUUGGGGCGGGUUCACAGGUGGUGCAUGGUUGUCGUCAGCUCGUGUCGUGAGAUGUUGGGUUAAGUCCCGCAACGAGCGCAACCCUCGUUCCAUGUUGCCAGCACGUAAUGGUGGGGACUCAUGGGAGACUGCCGGGGUCAACUCGGAGGAAGGUGAGGACAACGUCAAAUCAUCAUGCCCCUU
rnacentral:rRNA from 1 species